UGGGUGAAACUUUGUGUUAUGGGGGUAUUUUUGAAAGAAAAAUCAGAAAUCAUGGGUCAAAAUGUGAUUUAAAAAAGUUCUGCCAUGCCAGUUGCCUGGUCAGCAGCCCCGACCAACCAAGACGCGCCAGGUGGCAGAGGCGCUGACGCGGGAGGCCACGAAGGGGAAGCCAUGUAGGUGAUCCGCGAGCACGCAAUCUAAUGGCUGAGAUCCGUUCCCGUGCGCACGGACGGCCCAGAUAAAAAAUGCACACAGACAACCCAGAUUGAAUCGCCCAUGGACGGCUCAGAUUGAAUCGCGAUGAACGGCCCAAAUUCACUUCCUAUUUAAUUGCGAAUGGACAGUCCAGAUUAAAAGCGAUGGACGGCCUAGAUCAAAAGUGGAUGGGUAUAAAUAACUCCAUUCACACCCAAACCCUAACUCUAGCCGCCAGAGCCCCUCGCCGGAGAAGACAGCCUAGCCGACCACCACCACCCGCCGCCGUACCGGAGUAAUUUUCGACUACUAAAAGAGGUAAAAAUUUCCCAUCUUGCACGAAAUUCAAUUCUAAACCCACUUAUGGCCAAAUCAGAGUGAAAAACUGGCUGAUUGGCCGAAAAAUACUGUCGAAGCUCACCGCCGCCGCUGUGGGGUGUUUCAAAAAUUGCCUCCGAUGAGGCCCUUUCCGAUUCCCAUUCGAUGUGAUUUUUCCACCAUUGUGACCACCAUUUCCUUCUCUACAAGUUGACCGAAGCAAAACACCCAAUCGCAACGUGAGCUAGAGGAGUUGUCGCACCGGAGAGCCCCACCACCGGUGAGUAUGGAUUUUUUACAUUUUUUCGGUCCACAAAGGGCCCUAAGUGUGUUUUUUCGCAGGAGCCGGUGCAAGUUCGGCUUAAUUCGACCAAAAAUGGCUGAAAAUAGCCAAUCCGUGGUAGAUCACCGCCGUGCCAAAAUUCUAAAAUUGGUCGAGGAGGCCCUGGGUCUAAUUUUUGGGUUAUUUGGGACACUUGUAGGUACCGUAAGUGCGUUUCAU
rnacentral:lncRNA from 1 species